rnacentral:rRNA from 1 species
CAAUAGCGUAUAUUUAAGUUGUUGCAGUUAAAAAGCUCGUAGUUGGAUUUCGGGUGGGACGCAGCGGUCUCGCAUUGCGUUUGUACUGCUGCAGCCCUCCUUCUUGCCGGGGGCGGCCUCUCGGACUUCACUGUCUGGGGGUCAGAAUCGGCGAUGUUACUUUGAGUAAAUUAGAGUGUUCAAAGCAAGCUUACGCUCUGAAUAUAAUAGCAUGGGAUAACACGACAGGACUCUGGCCUAUCGUGUUGGUCUAUAGGACCAGAGUAAUGAUUAAGAGGGACAGUCGGGGUCAUUCGUAUUCCGUUGUCAGAGGUGAAAUUCUUGGAUUUACGGAAGACGAACAUCUGCGAAAGCAUUUGCCAAGGAUGUUUUCAUUGA